rnacentral:rRNA from 1 species
UACGUAGGGGGCUAGCGUUGUCCGGAUUUAUUGGGCGUAAAGAGCGUGUAGGCGGCCAGGUAGGUCUGCUGUGAAAACUCGAGGCUCAACCUCGAGAUGUCGGCGGAAACCAUCUGGCUAGAGUCCGGAAGAGGAAAGUGGAAUUCCUGGUGUAGCGGUGAAAUGUGCAGAUAUCAGGAAGAACACCCGUGGCGAAGGCGGCUUUCUGGGACGGUACUGACGCUGAGACGCGAAAGCGUGGGGAGCGAACAGG